rnacentral:rRNA from 1 species
UACGUAGGGUGCAAGCGUUAUCCGGAAUUAUUGGGCGUAAAGAGCUCGUAGGCGGUUUGUCGCGUCUGCUGUGAAAACUGGAGGCUCAACCUCCAGCCUGCAGUGGGUACGGCGAGACUAGAGUGCGGUAGGGGAGAUUGGAAUUCCUGGUGUAGCGGUGGAAUGCGCAGAUAUCAGGAGGAACACCGAUGGCGAAGGCAGAUCUCUGGGCCGUAACUGACGCUGAGGAGCGAAAGUGUGGGGAGCGAACAGG